AGCGGGUAUGGAUGCAAUUGGUACAUCAUUAAUCUUCCAAAUUAAAAGUGUGGGUUCGAAUCCCAUUACUCGCUAC
rnacentral:tRNA from 1 species